CCACGUUUUCACUUUAUCCUCUAAUCCCUACUCAUUUUCUUUCUGUCAACCUAAUCAGCCGCACACUCAUUUCUCAUGGUAUCAUCGCAUGCCUCUCCGAUGAGAUGGGUUGCUAGCUAUCAAUGGCGUCGGGGCUUGGGACUAUAGCGUGUGGUGGAUAUAUCGUGCAGGGGCAGAGGUGAUGGCCAUAGAUGGAUUUGGUGGAGCUCUGGGAAAUUUUCAGUCAUGUAUAUCUGGGGCCAUCUUCGGCAUCAGUUGGUGGUUUUGGAUCGACUUCGUUGUCCGCAACCCCAUCAAUUGAAAUGUGGAAGAUGUGGAGAAGAGACCCAGAAAGAAACUUCUUUGACAUUGAAUGAGACUGUUCCUCUCCCUGUAGGCAAGGGCACAGCUCAUCUCAUUCAGAAGGCUAAAACUCUACUGAGAACCAAGACAAUUAUAUAAGAGAACCAAGGCUACAAGAAAUUCUUCUUCAAGUUGUUGGCUAUUAUUUUCUUUCUUGCUUGUAAGAAUGUUUUUAUUUAUGUUUACCGAGUUUUUCGGAAACGAAUAACUAACAGAAUAAUAAAAAGAUAAGAACUGUAGAAAUGCUGAAAUGUAACUAAACAAACAGUGUUUUUACGUGGUUCAGGCGUUAACAAGCCCUAGUCCACGAGUCGAUGUUAUUAUACUUGGAAAAGGUUACAGUAA